AUUGAACGCUGGCGGCAGGCCUAACACAUGCAAGUCGAGCGGAUGAAGGGAGCUUGCUCCUGGAUUCAGCGGCGGACGGGUGAGUAAUGCCUAGGAAUCUGCCUGGUAGUGGGGGAUAACGUCCGGAAACGGGCGCUAAUACCGCAUACGUCCUGAGGGAGAAAGUGGGGGAUCUUCGGACCUCACGCUAUCAGAUGAGCCUAGGUCGGAUUAGCUAGUUGGUGGGGUAAAGGCCUACCAAGGCGACGAUCCGUAACUGGUCUGAGAGGAUGAUCAGUCACACUGGAACUGAGACACGGUCCAGACUCCUACGGGAGGCAGCAGUGGGGAAUAUUGGACAAUGGGCGAAAGCCUGAUCCGGCCAUGCCGCGUGUGUGAAGAAGGUCUUCGGAUUGUAAAGAACUUUAAGUUGGGAGGAAGGGCAGUAAGUUAAUACCUUGCUGUUUUGACGUUACCAACAGAAUAAGCACCGGCUAACUUCGUG
rnacentral:rRNA from 1 species